rnacentral:lncRNA from 1 species
AAAAAUUCUCAAUAUAAACUACUGAUCAUUUAUGUCCAAUCUGCUGCACUUGAAAAUCUAUGCUGCAGAAAAUUUCAGCUGCAUAUCGUUGCCUUAACCCAUCUAUUUCAAUCUUUUUUGAAUGAAAUUUCUUAUACACUUCAUAGAUUAUCUUGGCUUCCAUCUAAGAUUGAUCUAUUAAGAAAUUCAUCUCUAAAAACGAUUUUAUGUUGCUGCAAAUUUUCAUCGUAACCCGCUGAAAUUUUUCGACGAUAAUUCUGCAAUUGCAACUUGCACCAAUUUCCUUGCUGUUAUACUGCCGAAAUUUUCUUGACUAAAUUAGAUAUCCUUACUGUCAUAUAAACUGUGAUUUUGCUAUCAAUUCCCUCCUCAAAUUUCUCAUGUUUUUGGUGGAAAUUACGUCGAGAAACCAUUGUUUCUUCGACGACAAUUCUACUCUUACAAGACAGCACAUACUUGCUGCAACUUCCACGGAUUUCUGUCAAACCUUUGCUACCAUCUACCACAGAUCCAAAACUUUCAUCCAUAACCCUAAAACUCUACCAAACCACACCCUCAAACUGCACCCAAAACAGCCACAAAACAAGCCUAAAUCGUAGCCUACAUCCACCGAUCCACCAACCCUUUCGACCAUCACUUCUCUCAACCUAUACAUGCCUUUAACCUGACAACAAAAGAGAGAUCUCAACAUCAUAGAUUUGGAGGCAUAUACUAUGGCAUCUAAGGAGGCAAUCGAUGCUAAAUUCAAAGCCUUGGAGGCGCGAAUGGAGGAUAAGAUUCGGACGCUCUUUACCGAACUCAGAUUGGGUCGACUACUAAGCCCGAAAAAAUCAUAUCAC